rnacentral:lncRNA from 1 species
GAGAACUCCCCCACCAGGACAGAGGAGGAGAUGGGGGUCGCUGAACAGGUGAAUGAAGUCCAGAAAGGUUAAGAGAUUCCAUCAAAGUCAUACAGGUAAUCAGUGAGUUCCAGGUUGCGUGAAGAGCUAGCGUUCAUGGUGUGCCUCUCUGAAGCCCUAUGAAAGACCAAGUUUCGUUGUUAUCCUGGUUUUACCUGUGAGAAAACCAAUGCCACACUGCCCAGCCUUUUCAGUGCAAAAAUUUCAGCAAAAUAGCUACGUUUUCCAUUGCUUCAUUGUAUUGAGAACAGGCGUGUCUUGAUCCCACCUCUACUUUUCAAAGGUACGGCAGCUACAGUAGUUCAGGUCUUUAUCAUCACUCCCUUUUACUAUUUUAAUUAUAUAACUGCUCCCCUAACCUCCAUUCUUAUUUUCCCUCCUAUCCAACAAUUGCAUGAUUGUCAAACUGAACAUUGAAAGCUCAGGUCUAAGAAAAUUGACAAAGACGAACAAAGAUGUGUCUAAGUGAGCAAUCUCAGAGAUGCUGUGGUGUGAAUGGUGCAGCCCCUUUGAAGGGCAACGUGGUCAUAUCUACCAGAGUUACAAGCACAGGCACGCUUUGACCCAAAAUUCCACUUCCAGGAAUUUAUCCUAUUGAUAUUCUUAUACGUGCAAAGAUGUAUGUGUGAGGAUGUCAAUUAUGGCAUUGUUUAUAAUGACAAGAUAUUGGAAACAAGCUAUUGAAAUGGUAGAGCUACUGAAAUGAAUGAUGGUAAUUGCCUUUUAUUUUUUAAGGAAGAUUAGCUCUGAGCUAACAUCUGCCACCAAUCCUCCUCUUUUUUGCUAAGGAAGAUUGGCUCUGAGCUAACUCCAGCGCCUGUCUUCCUCCACUUUGUAUGCCGGAUGCCUGCCAAAUCAUGGCUUGACAAGCAGUGUGUAGGUCCACACCCGGGAUCUGAACUGGCAAACCCCGGGCCGCCAAAGCAGAAUGUGAGAACUUAACGGCUGUACCACCGGCUGGCCCCUGAAUCAUGGUAAUUGGAUGAUGGAAUUUGUAAGGGCCAUUUGCCAGUUGCUCCCUAGAAUCCACUCCCUUUUGUCCCCUCUUAAUCGUUGGUUGGGGUUGGCCCCCACUCCUGACUGAGGGCAGCCAAUCAGCCCAUCAUAUUUCCUUGGCCUCAGAACUGUUUCAUGUAAGAAAAAAUCUUGUCCAAUCAGAAUGAAUCAGAAUGAUUACGAGGCGUAGAAUAGCUGCAGCCAGGAGGGGCAGCCUGGAGCCUCCAGGAGGCCUGAGAUGGACCCUGAGAGAGGAACUAGUCCAACGACGUGUGCUGGGGGAUGGAGCCUACUGGGGUCAAGCUGGGUGACAUGCCGAAGCGGGGCGAAUGCCCUUUUGGUUUUGGUUCUUGUUUAGCUGGCCUGAGGUGAGUCGCCUUUCACUUGCAGCCAUAAGGAUCCUAGGUGCUAAAGGAUGCCCGGUAGCUGUGAAAGGAAGUGAGGUGCAUCUACAUUUGCCCAUGUGGAAUUCCUUGAGAUACUUUGUGAAAUGAAAGCAUUAUACAACGAAUAUAGAAUAUACUCCCUUCUAUAUAAAUGAAAAGCUGUGAGAAUGAGUGAGUGCCUGUGCAUGUGUGGAUGUGUGUGAUGUGUAUAACAGUCUCAGCUAGUCCACGCAAUGCUUUUGAACAAAUUAGGAAAAGACGCUCCCUCUGGUAUGUGCAGCCCCAUGCCACGGAGCAGCUUGGCAAGCAAGUGUGCAAUGGAUUUUAACCCCUCCUUGUCUCUGUGGCUGGGGGGCUUCAUGCUGUACACAAUCUACACAAUAUGCCAUGGUCCUUUGUCUAUAUACUUGUAUAUGAUAUUUCCGGUAGGAUACAUGCAAAACCAGAAAGACAGGUUGCUUCUAGGAAGGGAAGACUCGGAGUUUGGUGGUAGUAGGGUGAAAGGAGGCUUGUCCUCUGUGCUGCCCUGGGGGGGGUAUUUGAAUUUUACUACCAUCUACACAAAUUACUUUUCAAAACUAGUUCAUUUGAAUAAACAAGUAGGAAAGCAAACAAAAACACAGGUUUGAUCUCAGUUACUCCCUUGUUUCAAAAAACUUUCAACAAUCCUCAUGAAGAACUUCCAGCUACUUGAGCACAUCAUACAAAGGUUGCAGCUGGCCCCAGCCUGCCAUCCUAGCCUUACCUCGGGCAGCUCGCUUGGCCUCUCCGCCUUUGCAGCUGCUGUCCUCUCUGCUCUUCCCUGUGUCCCACCUGGGGGACUGCCGUCAUCCUCGGGGGCCCUUGUUCCUGGGUGUGCCCACAGUCCUUGGUGCCUUUCCCUUUCUUGCUACCUACCACAUUUUAUUGCAAUUGUUUGUUUAUUCCUACGCCACCUGCUUUCUGUGAGUGAGCUCUUUGACGGACCUGUGUCCCUGGACUUAGGACAGUUGGUGCUUGUGACACGAUGGGAAGAGGCAUCUCAUAGCUGUUCGCUGAACAAAUGGAGUGUGGAACUCCCUUUCAGAAUCACCUGAGAUCCUUGACAAGAAUGUGUAUUCCUGGGACCCACCUCAGGACAACUGAAUUAGACUCCCUGAAGGGUGGAGCCCAGCAAUUCCGACUUUUAACCAGCCCCCUCGAUGAUUCUAAUGCCCACUAAAGCCUACAAACUGCUGGUUCAGCAACUCUUCCUUCAGAAGCCCUUGGGAUCUGCAUAUUUGGGAAUCUGGAACUACCUGACGGGACAGAGCAAAAAUAGACCAAGCGUUCUCUGAGCUCUGCAGCGUCACCUCCUCGUGCGUCCUUGAGGUGUUCCUGAAGGCUGCUUCUCUGGGGUUUGGGGCUGAUGUCAUUGUUUUUCCUGGCACCACUGCUUUGCUGGUUCUAAAAAGCACUUUUAAAAGUAUCAGCUUUUAGGAUAAAAACUCUAGGAAUCUUGAAACAAAAUGUGGGUACAACUCAGAUUAACUCCACACUUGUCCUUACCCCUCAGCCUCAAGCCCCUUCCUGCCUGGUCCUGAGGUAGAGAAUGUUUCAGGCUGAUCCAUUUCAAGGAAGUCUCCUGGAGACGCUGUGUUUCCAUCUUACAUGAAGGUUAAUUACACUAUGCUAAAUUCCAAGGGGCUGAUCAGUUUGCUUUGUGGAAAUGAUAUUUCUGUCAUUUUGAAUAAUUUUUGAAAUGUGAAUGUGAUUGGCCUGUAUUUGGCCGCCCUUUUUAUUUAGAGAGUUUUCCUGGAAUAGAAGUUUAGCUUCAUCCACAUGUGCUCAUUUACACCAUAUAUUACAGACACCCAUUGCUCUGGGCCACAGGGCAGCGCUCACACCCUCUGCCUCCCUCCCUUGGGGGAUGAAGUCACUCAUAGACAUGGUUCACUGCUAUAGACGGAAUGGUUGUGUCCUCUCAAAAUUCAUAUGUUAAAUCCUGACCCCCAAUGCAAUGGUACUUGGAAGUGAGGUCUCUGGGAGGUGAUUAGUUCAUGAGGGCAAAGCCCUCAGGGAUGGGAUUAGUGCCCUUAUAAAAGAGACCCCAGAGAGCUCCCUUGCCCCUUCUGCCAUGUGAAGACAGAAUGAGAAGAUAGCUGUCUAUGAACUAGGAAGUAAGCUGGCACCAGACCCCGAAUCUCCUGGCAUCUUAAUCUUGGACUUUCCAGGCUCAGGAACUGUGGGAAAGAAAUGCUUGUGUAAGCCCCCGACUGUAUGGUAAUUGUUAUAGCCGCCCGAAUGGACUAAGACAUUCACACUGUUGCCCUUGUGCCAAGCAGAGUGCAGGAUACAUUAGUGCAAGAGGGUGAGCCUGUGCCCUGUGUCAAGGAGUUUAAUCUAAACCCCCAUUCUCCAAUGCAGUCGCCCCCAGCCACAUGUGACUAUUGAACACUUGAAAUGUCUGAAUGGAGAUGUGCUGUAAGUGUAAAAUAUACAUCAGAUUUCAAAGACUUUGUAGGAAGAAAAAGCGUGUAAAAUAUCUCAUUAACAAUUGUUUUAUAUUGACUACAUGUUGAAAUCAGAAUGUUUUGGAUAUAUUAGGUUAAAUAAAAUAUACUAUUAAAAUUAA